rnacentral:rRNA from 1 species
AGUGAACGCUGGCGGUAGGCCUAACACAUGCAAGUCGAACGGCAGCACAGUAAGAGCUUGCUCUUACGGGUGGCGAGUGGCGGACGGGUGAGGAAUACAUCGGAAUCUACUUUUUCGUGGGGGAUAACGUAGGGAAACUUACGCUAAUACCGCAUACGACCUACGGGUGAAAGCAGGGGAUCUUCGUACCUUGCGCGAUUGAAUGAGCCGAUGUCGGAUUAGCUAGUUGGCGGGGUAAAGGCCCACCAAGGCGACGAUCCGUAGCUGGUCUGAGAGGAUGAUCAGCCACACUGGAACUGAGACACGGUCAAGACUCCUACGGGAGGCAGCAGUGGGGAAUAUUGGACAAUGGGCGCAAGCCUGAUCCAGCCAUACCGCGUGGGUGAAGAAGGCCUUCGGGUUGUAAAGCCCUUUUGUUGGGAAAGAAAAGCAGCAGGUUAAUACCCCGCUGUUCUGACGGUACCCAAAGAAUAAGCACCGGCUAACUUCGUG